rnacentral:rRNA from 1 species
AAUUAUGACGUACUUGUACUGAUUGAGAUUUUAACACGAAGUGAGUGGCGAACGGGUGAGUAACACGUGGGUAACCUGCCCAGAAGUAGGGGAUAACACCUGGAAACAGAUGCUAAUACCGUAUAACAGAGAAAACCGCAUGGUUUUCUUUUAAAAGAUGGCUCUGCUAUCACUUCUGGAUGGACCCGCGGCGUAUUAGCUAGUUGGUGAGGUAAAGGCUCACCAAGGCAGUGAUACGUAGCCGACCUGAGAGGGUAAUCGGCCACAUUGGGACUGAGACACGGCCCAGACUCCUACGGGAGGCAGCAGUAGGGAAUCUUCCACAAUGGACGCAAGUCUGAUGGAGCAACGCCGCGUGAGUGAAGAAGGGUUUCGGCUCGUAAAGCUCUGUUGUUAAAGAAGAACGUGGGUAAGAGUAACUGUUUACCCAGUGACGGUAUUUAACCAGAAAGCCACGGCUAACUACGUGCCAGCAGCCGCGGUAAUACGUAGGUGGCAAGCGUUAUCCGGAUUUAUUGGGCGUAAAGCGAGCGCAGGCGGUCUUUUAAGUCUAAUGUGAAAGCCUUCGGCUCAACCGAAGAAGUGCAUUGGAAACUGGGAGACUUGAGUGCAGAAGAGGACAGUGGAACUCCAUGUGUAGCGGUGAAAUGCGUAGAUAUAUGGAAGAACACCAGUGGCGAAGGCGGCUGUCUGGUCUGCAACUGACGCUGAGGCUCGAAAGCAUGGGUAGCGAACAGGAUUAGAUACCCUGGUAGUCCAUGCCGUAAACGAUGAUUACUAAGUGUUGGAGGGUUUCCGCCCUUCAGUGCUGCAGCUAACGCAUUAAGUAAUCCGCCUGGGGAGUACGACCGCAAGGUUGAAACUCAAAAGAAUUGACGGGGGCCCGCACAAGCGGUGGAGCAUGUGGUUUAAUUCGAAGCUACGCGAAGAACCUUACCAGGUCUUGACAUCUUCUGACAGUCUAAGAGAUUAGAGGUUCCCUUCGGGGACAGAAUGACAGGUGGUGCAUGGUUGUCGUCAGCUCGUGUCGUGAGAUGUUGGGUUAAGUCCCGCAACGAGCGCAACCCUUAUUACUAGUUGCCAGCAUUAAGUUGGGCACUCUAGUGAGACUGCCGGUGACAAACCGGAGGAAGGUGGGGACGACGUCAAAUCAUCAUGCCCCUUAUGACCUGGGCUACACACGUGCUACAAUGGAUGGUACAACGAGUCGCGAGACCGCGAGGUUAAGCUAAUCUCUUAAAACCAUUCUCAGUUCGGACUGUAGGCUGCAACUCGCCUACACGAAGUCGGAAUCGCUAGUAAUCGCGGAUCAGCAU